rnacentral:tRNA from 1 species
ACUAUUUUGGCAGAUUAGUGCAAUAAAUUUAGAAUUUAUUUAUGUGAAUUUUAUCACAGAUAGUA